GUGUGUGUGUGUGUAUUACCAUUGUCCAAUAUUUAUUUUAUUAUUUAUUUUUAAGAAACUUUUAUUUUUGAAAAUCUCACACAUGUAUACCAAGUAUCUUAAUCUCACCCCAACUCUUUCCCCAGAAUAUUUUAUUUUUUAUUUCUUUCCCAAGGCUAACCCUUCUGUUCACUGUCCUCAGAAGAGCACUUUAGCUGCAUAUCUCCCUCUGUCUCAUGAUUUGAUGAGCCUUAAAGGUUUUCUCCAGUGCAUACCAUUUCAUUUUACACAGGGUUUUGUUAGGGUUUUUUUUAAGUUUCUAGACAUGUACCUCUAAAUUUUUUCAUAUUAUUGGUCUCACAUUAUUGCUUAUAGUCAGAGGCAUUUGAUCUCUUCAGAUCAAAUACAUCAUUUACAUAGAAAUGAUUCUUUCAUAGAUUUGACUCUUUGGGAUUUAUCAUGGCUUCCCCUCUGUUAUGUAGCAAUGUGUAUAAAUGCUUCAGAUGUGCAUGAGAAAGAAGUACACUUUCUUUCCAAGAUAACGGAUGCUAAUAGGUAAGCUGAAUCCAUGGAUGGUGGCACGCACCUGUAGUCCAGCACAAGCUGCGGAGGCAGGAGGAUUAUCAUCCUACUCUACACAGUGAGUUCCAGGUCAGCCAUGGCUAUACAGAGUCUGUCUCAAAAACCAGCCAACAAACAAAAGUGCUGUGUUCAUGGGCUCGAGUUCUUAAUGCUGUCAUUGAAGUCUUCCUUAUAUUGUUUUCUUCUUUGAAUGAAAGUUGACCUUUGAGACUUAAAAUCUCAUAAUCUAAGAGUUUACUGUCAGAGAAAACAUUGGCUGUGGGCUGAGCAGUGGAGGAGGAAGUUGAAUUAUUUUCUGUUGGUUUUUAUCCUCUUAAUCCAAUUUGAGUCUGCAACACUGAGAGCUCACCAAGUCGAGGUAUGUGUUCUAUGGUUUUUGUUUUGGAAGGAGGAGAUUUGAAGGAGAUGGACUGAAUGUCUCCAUGGGGGGUGUUUAAGUGGAUAUAUAUAAUAUGUUGUGUGUGUGUGUGUGUGUGUGUGUGUGUGUGUGUGUGUGUGUGUGGCAAUCAGAGGACAGUUUGGGAAGUCUUCUGUCUGCCUUCCAUUUCACUUUAGGAAUGCAGGAUUACAGAUGUGUCUUAUUCAUGGAGGUUCUAGGGUUUGAACUCUGGUCAUCAGGCUUCAGAGACAAGCACUUUUAUUUGGCUUAUCCAUCUCACUGGCUCCGCCAAGAAAGUGUUCACAAGUUGCUUGGAUGUAAAACUUGUGACUAACGCACAGUCCAGCGAGAGACAGUAAUACAUAGGUAUGUGUGAGCAUAUGUAUAGGGAAGUUUGUGUGCCUUCCAUGAGCUAGAACAGGCGGGCACCACACAGCACUGCAUGGAGACGCCAGCAGACAGUUGAGGAAAGGGGAGAGAACCCCUCAUGUCACCUCUGAAGCCUUGAAGGGUAAGAAAGCUCUAGACUGUGGGUGGCUGGAAUGGGUAGUUCAUCGUCCAUCUAAUUUGCUCUUUGCUUUUGUGUUUACUAAUCUCAAAUUCACCAGAGAGGCAGAUGUAUGUGCCAUCCACAUCAGCAGGUGGCUGUGCCUGAAGCUCGUUUUGUUUUUUUAAUGCCCAGAAAUACUCCUGAGACUCAUACACAGAUUUUGAGAGUUUGACUUGGUCAAAGAAGAAACCAUGUAAUCAAGCAGGAGGAAGGCCCAGGGCCAUUGUCUUGUGGCUCUUACAGGUUAAUAUGGUUUAAUGGAAGUUGGUGGUUCUUUAAAUGUUAUCUCCAUGUCGUAUGUAUUUAGAAUAAAUGUAUAUACCCAUAUAAUUUCUUCAUGGUUGUGUGCAGGUGCAUUAACCUGCAUUGGCUAUUGGACAGCACACCAGUCACAUAGUAUAACAAUGAAACAAAGUGGUAACAAUCCACGGCCUGAAAGAAGGAACGCUUUGGAAGAUGCUAGGUAUUCACCCACGAGCUCUGUCUUAUCAGGCUCCAUUUGCUUAACAGGGAAGUAUCCAAACAUUUAAGUAUGCAAAUGCGUACAGCCAAAUGAGACAUCAUUUAAUUCUUUUAUUGUCUUACAGUGAAAGAGAGCAAAUGAGCAAGUGGAUGGUUUCCUGCCAAUUACUUUCAGUUCGUUGUCUUUUAUGCUAAGAGACUCUGCAAACACUGCUCUGCAUCCAGCAGACGCCUGGUCACACUGAGGCAUCGAGCACGGACCCCUCCCUUCAGCAAACCCCAGUGCUCUGUAAGGAAACGAUCUGGGGACAUCCCUUCAAAUUCAGAGAGCUGCUGUUCUUGAGGUGAACCCAUGACAUAUCCAGCCCAUUUAAAAGUGCUUUUCCCAUACUAGAGGAGGGAGGGUUAAGUAUCAAUUUCCUGAGUUUGAAGCUCUUCAAGAAUUAAUGAUCUUCAUUUCUUUUCUUUUACCGAAAGCACAGUACUGCUUAAAACCAUGAGCAAAAUGCUGACCUAGACAAGGGGUUCCGGAAGCUGGGGCCUCAGCACAGGGUUAUCCUUGCAAGCAGUCACUUAAACAAUAUUCUCAGCUCCACAGAGACCAGAAAUCCCUUUCUGUAGAUGAAGUUGACUCUGUGCUGCCAGACCCUUCACUGCUCACCCCAUUCCAGUGGUACCAUUACCAUCACUUGUUUGGUGCUGUUUCUGCUGAAUUAUUUGGAGCCCACCUUCCUGCUUUAGCUUUGAAUUCUCACCAGAGAGAACCAUGCCAGGGCCGAUUUGGAUAACGGGAUCAUUAGCAACCAAACAGAUGAUGCCUCUCUCUCUCUCUCUAACAGAGACUCGCUCAGCUGCAGAGAGCCCUUCAAUUCCAGCAGAGAGGGCAGACUGUCAUCUGAGCUCGGCCCAUCCUGCUGUCUGCACUCUCCAGAGAGUGUGCUUCAUCCUGAUAAACAGGCUGUGAGCCGAGCACGUGACUGGACGUGACUGAACUUCUUAAGGUAAACGGAAGACACAGAGGUGCUCCUCCCACACUGGUACAGCAGAAUUAGUUAGGCAGGACCAUCCUUUCAAUGGGGAUGAUGCUUUUCCAAAAGACAGGCUUUCAGACUGACUGUCUGAAGUGAGAUAGAGGAUACUUAUUUUUAUCAUUGUGUAGCACGAGGCCUUUCAGGUUGCCUUGGCUGUUGUCAUUUAUCCGCCAGGCACCUCUCUUGGGAUUCAGUAUCAUCUAGAAGCUGUCUCCUGAAUAAUAGGCUACCUGCUAGGAACUGCAGAUAUUGCUAGAUACUGUCUGCUGGUUACUUCCUCACAGCUCUGACCACAUGUCAGCCUAUCCCAGCUUCCUCAAGAUCUCAGCAUGAUAAAUCAAGAAAGGCCUUGAAGUCUGGACCCUUCCAGUAACUGCUAGAAGUUCCACUGAGGGGGUUACUACCCCACCUAAGGAACUACUCUGGGCUGCCAGCUCCCCUUCAGUGUCUCAGUGGUAAGAGCAUUAGUGAAGUAGAUUGACAGCUCAGCAGAGCAAAUGCUGCCCCAGCCGCAAUGGGGAGAGGUGGGGUCACAGCCUCUGCAGAGCUACCCACACUCAAAACUCAACUCCCUGCUCUCUCUCUUUCUGGGCAGCAGCUUUUCUCUUGGACCACUUGCCUCAUUCCCGUUUCUUGAUUCUUCUUAGGAUGUAGUGUUUAUCACUUUAGUCUUCUCAAUCUUAAAACUGGAUUGUUCCUCAUAUGUGAUGUCUUGUGCAUCUUUGAUGUCAGAAACAUGGGAACAAUAUAUGGUUCGUUAAGUUAGGGACUAGGAACAGGAGUGGACAUGUUUAUGCAGUUUCUCCUUUUAAGGGACUGUCUUGAGUGACGUUUCUCUUCUGGGUGCUGCUGGGAGACAGGGACAUCCGAGACGUGAGUCCUUUCUUUGAGGACUGACAAAGAGGAUGUGUUGACGUCACCAAAGGAGGAACCCUCCAGGAAAUGGCCAGAGAGAGUUCAGGUCUUCAGAAGAAGGUGUGUCCCAGAUUAAAAGUGUGUACCACAACACCUGGAUCUGGGACUUGCUUUGUCCCAGAUGACCUUGAACUCAGAGAUCUCCUGGGAUUCACAAUCACUCUGCCUCAAGCUCUCCAUGCCAAGAUCCAGGUCAGAAACUUGUAUCUCCCAGCCUCAAGAUCAUGGUCACAGAGCCUGCAACCCUUUGGGGAGAAGACUGCAGCAGGCUGCAUGCUUGACUCCACUCUGGAUCAUUUUACACAAAGGGCACAGGACAGCCGCCCCGAGCUUGUAGGACUCUCCUGGCUCUGCCCACCCCAGUGCCUGGACUGCAGAUGCUGCUCUACAUACUUGACUCUUUUGUGGGUUCAAGAGACUCCAACUCAGGUCCUCAUGUUUGGGCUUUCUCCCUGCUCUCACAUUUCCCCAUGUAAUAUCAUCCUUCAUUUGUUGGGCUAGUGUGAAAACUCUGAGACCUCCAGUAGGCCAGACCCUCCCGGCCUUCUGCUUGCCUUUCCGUGGCUGUAAAUCCGUUAUGUAGGUCAGGCUUUUUAAAUCUCCUUUGUCUCGUCUCUUUAGCUUCAUAAUUCUGUCUGCACACAAUGUCCUUCCUCCCACACCAGCUCUUCUUCUGAAUUUACAUCUCUGAGCAUCCUAAUAUGCAAAUCACCCCAUUUUAAAUAUAUAGGCAAUCUUUCAACUUAUAUUUGUCAAGAAAUAUGAUGCCUAAGGCUCUGUGCUGAACAUGUUUUGAGAAAUUUAGACUGUUAGCAAUACAGUUGAGUUACUGACUAUUGUGUAUAGUAUUCUAAAAUAUUAGCUACAUAUUUUUACAAGGAGACUGUUAUGGAUCUAUUGAAUUGCCUGGCUAAACUGAUGAUCUGUGCAUUGAUGAGUGAAGUGCAUUGUACAUUUGAUUAAUGAACCAGUCUCUAAGUUAUAACUAUUUCCUGGUAAAAAUAGCACAUCGAUACCCUUCGCAUGUCUGUUUUUCUGGGUUAACAAAACACAGUAUCACUUUCCUCUUUAAGUAUUUAGCAACACAAUUUAUACAAUGUCAAUUUUUUUUAAAAAAAAGACAUUUAUAUUGGUCUGUGAAUAUUUCGAGGAUCAGUGGCAACUUGACUGCAUGAAGCCAAGAUGAGAGUUCAUUUGGUUGUCAAGAGAUCAAUUGGAUCUUGUUAGAUAAAGAACAAAAUGGCAACCAACAGAUUGGGAAAAGAUCUUUACCAAUCCUACAAC
rnacentral:sRNA from 1 species